GAACCAGUACGAAUCUCAUCAUGAUUGUGUCAAGGCUGAAUGGCUCAUUGCAAUGAUAAUAGAGUUCUCUUCUCUCACUGAUGUUUACUAAAUUAACAGUAAACUCUGGAGUUGGCCUAAAUCAUUUUUGGUAAUAAACAUAGGCAAGAGUGGUAAACAGUGUUAAACAUGUGACUUACAUGCAGUGUUAAACACAGGUAAACAUAAGUAAACGAUGAUAUACAGGGUAAACAUUGACAAAACAGUGGUAAGCACUAGCAUACAUAGGUAAACACAAUAUACAGUGAAAAACAUAGGUAAACAGUGAUAUACUUUGUUAAACACAGGUAAACAUAGGCUAACGAUGGUAUACAAUGGUAAACUGGCUAAACACUGAUAAACAUUGACAAUACAGUGGUAACCAUUGAUAUACAGUGAUAUACAGUGGAAAAUAUAGUUCCAGGCUACUAUGCUACUAUGGUAAGCAAUCCAUGUAAUUGUAUUUCUGUUAAUAAGUAUUUGUUGCGGUAUAAAUAGUAUAAAUAAAUUUGU